rnacentral:rRNA from 1 species
UACGGAGGGGGCUAGCGUUGUUCGGAAUUACUGGGCGUAAAGCGCGCGUAGGCGGCUUUGUAAGUCAGAGGUGAAAGCCUGGAGCUCAACUCCAGAACUGCCUUUGAGACUGCAUCGCUUGAAUCAUGGAGAGGUUAGUGGAAUUCCGAGUGUAGAGGUGAAAUUCGUAGAUAUUCGGAAGAACGCCAGUGGCGAAGGCGACUAACUGGACAUGCAUUGACGCUGAGGUGCGAAAGCGUGGGGAGCAAACAGG